AAAACGCGGCAAAUGCUAACUGAAUGGAAAGCAGAGUUGGGGCGCUGUCCGAGAUGCCCUGCUGCAGAACUAGUGAACCUAGAAAUGUAAAGACCAGAAUGUGAUCACAGAGAACUUACUUGUGCAUCUAAAAAAGAAACGUUCGUCCUAGGAGACAGGAAACCGUCUGGAAGACGCGUUCAGUAAGAAGCGGAAAAGAAACAAGUCUGCAUCCAGGGGACGAGGCAGAAGGUGACUUUUUGACCACAGUGACCUGGUUAAGCAGGGAGCAGCUGGAAAACUGUCUAAGGAAGUGUCAAGCUGGUGAGCAGAGAAACUUCCAUGCCAAGUUACAAAUCCUAAUCAAGGAUCCAAACAACUGAAAGGAAAAGUGAUUCUUGGGUAUUCUGAGGAAGUUACGCAGACAUUACGUGGGGCUAGGGAGAAAAAAAAAUUCCCUUUUGUGUUUGUUUUAAAUGUUUAUUUAUUUAUUUGAGAGAGACUGCGGGCACAUGGCUCCUGCAGCCAGAGGGAGGGAAUCCUAAAGCAGACUCACCACUGAGCAAGCAUCUGAGGGGGCCUCCAUCCCAGGAUCCCGAGAUCAUGACCUGAGCCGAAAUCAAGUGUCGGGUGCUCAACCAACCAAUCCACCCAGGAUCCCCAAGAUUUUCCCUUUUGGAUAGCCACCAUCUUCCUAAACUAUUUUCUCCUUGAGAGAUUGGAUCUUAGAAGGGUCGUAACCCAAGAAUACACCUGCUGUAGAAAGAAUGAAUUGCUUCAUAGGUGACUUGCAAGGAACACAGAAAAGUAGUGAAAAAACCAAAUGAAGACACCUUAGAUGGACUCACAGUAUACCCAUUAGUACCAUUUUCCCCCUGGAGGAGUCACACAGGCCUCAUGCUAAAGAAGGGCCUUGUGCUUGGCUUAAUGCUCUGCUGUCACCAUUUUGAAAUUCUUA